rnacentral:rRNA from 1 species
GAUGAACGCUGGCGGCGUGCCUAAUACAUGCAAGUCGAGCGAAUGGAUUAAGAGCUUGCUCUUAUGAAGUUAGCGGCGGACGGGUGAGUAACACGUGGGUAACCUGCCCAUAAGACUGGGAUAACUCCGGGAAACCGGGGCUAAUACCGGAUAAUAUUUUGAACUGCAUGGUUCAAAAUUGAAAGGCGGCUUCGGCUGUCACUUAUGGAUGGACCCGCGUCGCAUUAGCUAGUAGGUGAGGUAACGGCUCACCAAGGCAACGAUGCGUAGACGACCUGAGAGGGUGAUCGGCCACACUGGGACUGAGACACGGCCCAGACUCCUCCGGGAGGCAGCAGUAGGGAAUCUUCCGCAAUGGGCGAAAGUCUGACGGAGCAACGCCGCGUGAGUGAUGAAGGCUUUCGGGUCGUAAAACUCUGUUGUUAGGGAAGAACAAGUGCUAGUUGAAUAAGCUGGCACCUUGACGGUACCUAACCAGAGAGCCACGGCUAACUACGUGUCAGCAGCCGCUGUAA